rnacentral:tRNA from 1 species
GCGUUGUUAGCUCAAUUGGUAGAGCAGUGGUCUCCAAAACCAAAGGUUGGAGGUUCGAGUCCUCCACGACGCG